GAUGAAGAACGCAGCGAAAUGCGAUACGUAAUGUGAAUUGCAGAAUUCAGUGAAUCAUCGAGUCUUUGAACGCACAUUGCGCCCCCUGGUAUUCCGGGGGGCAUGCCUGUCCGAGCGUCAUUGCUGCCCUCAAGCACGGCUUGUGUGUUGGGCCUCCGUCCUCCUCCCGGGGGACGGGCCCGAAAGGCAGCGGCGGCACCGCGUCCGGUCCUCGAGCGUAUGGGGCUUCGUCACCCGCUCUUGUAGGCCCGGCCGGCGCUUGCCGACACAUCAAUCUUUUUUCCAGGUUGACCUCGGAUCAGGCAAGAUUACCCGCUGAACUUAAGCAUAUCAAUAAGCGGAGGA
rnacentral:misc_RNA from 1 species